rnacentral:rRNA from 1 species
GAGGAAUAUUGGUCAAUGGGCGAGAGCCUGAACCAGCCAAGUAGCGUGCAGGAAGACGGCCCUAUGGGUUGUAAACUGCUUUUAUGUGGGGAUAAAGUGAGCUACGUGUAGUUUAUUGCAGGUACCACAUGAAUAAGGACCGGCUAAUUCCGUGCCAGCAGCCGCGGUAAUACGGAAGGUCCAGGCGUUAUCCGGAUUUAUUGGGUUUAAAGGGAGCGUAGGCCGUGGAUUAAGCGUGUUGUGAAAUGUAGACGCUCAACGUCUGAAUUGCAGCGCGAACUGGUUCACUUGAGUAUGCACAACGUAGGCGGAAUUCGUCGUGUAGCGGUGAAAUGCUUGGAUAUGACGAAGAACUCCGAUUGCGAAGGCAGCUUACGGGAGCACAACUGACGCUGAAGCUCGAAGGUGCGGGUAUCAAACAGGAUUAGAUACCCUGGUAGUCCGCACAGUAAACGAUGGAUGCCCGUUGUUAGUUCACUUAAGAAUUAGCGACCAAGCGAAAGCAUUAAGCACCCCACCUGGGGAGUACGCCGGCAACGGUG